CGCGUGGUUCUAUUUUGUUGGUUUCUAGGACCGCCGUAAUGCUUAAUAGGGACAGUCGGGGGCAUCAGUAUUCAAUUGUCAGAGGUGAAAUUCUUGGAUCUAUUGAAGACUAACUACUGCGAAAGCAUUUGCCAAGGAUGUUUUCAUUGAUCAGGAACGAAAGUUAGGGGAUCGAAAACGAUCAGAUACCGUUGUAGUCUUAACUAUAAACUAUGCCGACUAGGGAUCGGACGAUGUUAUUACUUGACUCGUUCGGCACCUUUCGAGAAAUCAAAGUGCUUGGGCUCCAGGGGGAGUAUGGUCGCAAGGCUGAAACUUAAAGAAAUUGACGGAAGGGCACCACCAGGGGUGGAACCUGCGGCUUAAUUUGACUCAACACGGGGAAACUCA
rnacentral:rRNA from 1 species